GCCUUUCCAAUGUUGAAGGCAGGUGCAUUGAAGUUCUUUACUAUGUUCCGAAAUCAGCUGUCAAAGGCUGUUGCAAUGGCAUUACUUCCAGAUGUUGUGCGUUUCCUUGCUUCAGAGUCAAAUGUGGUUCAUUCUUAUGCUGCGAGUUGCAUUGAGAAACUGUUGCUUGUUAAAGAUGAUGGGACACGAGCAAGAUAUACAGCAGCAGAUAUUAGUCCCUUUUUGUUAGUGUUGAUGACUAACCUUUUUAGUGCCCUGGAGAAGCCAGAAUCUGAGGAGAAUCAAUAUAUAAUGAAGUGUAUUAUGCGAGUGCUAGGAGCUGCUGAAAUUUCUCGUGAUGUUGCUUCAGCUUGCAUAACAGGUCUGACAAAUGUUCUCAACAGAGUCUGCGAGAACCCUAAGAAUCCUAUUUUUAAUCAUUAUCUCUUUGAAUCCGUAGCUGUUCUUAUUAGGAGAGCCUGUGAGAGGGAUCCUACUCUUAUAUCUGCUUUCGAAGGGAGCCUUUUCCCUAGCCUCCAGAUGGUCUUAGCUAAGG
rnacentral:misc_RNA from 1 species